rnacentral:tRNA from 1 species
UCCGAUAUGGUCUAGUGGCUAGGAUUUCUCGCUCUCAAACAGUUGUACCUUCUACAACGAUCAGGUCCGAGGAGGCCGGGGUUCAAUUCCCCGUGUCGGAA